GACGAACCGAGCGAACGUUGUUCGGAAUCACUGGGCUUAAAGGGCGCGUAGGCGGGUGCUCAAGUCCGGGGUGAAAUCCUCCAGCUCAACUGGAGAACUGCCUCGGAUACUGGCGGUCUCGAGGAGGGUGAGGGCAGUGCGGAACUAUGGGUGGAGCGGUGAAAUGCGUUGAUAUCCAUAGGAACUCCGGUGGCGAAGGCGGCGUGCUGGACCCUUUCUGACGCUGAGGCGCGAAAGCCAGGGGAGCAAACGGG
rnacentral:rRNA from 1 species